UUAAAAUUAAACUAUAAAGAUAAAAACUAAUUUAAAAUAUAUUCAUAAAAACUACAAUGGUAUUUCAAUAAUAAUAAAAAACACUUAAUUUUACAUUAUUUUUUAGGAGUCGGAUGGAUCUUUAUCAGUCCACCAGAAAACAAAUUCAAGUUUCCAGGCUGCUUCAGUAAGUUUGUCUGAAGAAGAAUUACUCCAGAGGUUUUUAACUGGUUCAUUUUAUGUGCAUUAUCUUUAUUUAGUUGUAUAUUAUAGAAAUUUGAAGUCAUGUAUGCCAAUUUAUCUCUUUCAGUAAUGAUUCCUCAUCAGUUUCUGUACUGGAAGCCAAAAUGUGACAAAACAAGCCAAACGGAAAGCGCUGCACAUUUAAGCUGGAAGAUAUUUUCACAUUGCCGAAAAACUUCAGGCUCCCACAACUAUGUGAACCAUCAUGAUCGGUCUGUUAUUGUGGUAUAA
ensembl:lncRNA